rnacentral:lncRNA from 1 species
GGAGAAGGCCCUCUUUGGAGAAUUCCAGGACGGGUGAGGAACGUGUGCUGGACCGGCCGGGUCGGAGGUGGGCCUUGUGGUGGCCCCAAGCACGGUCCCCGCUCCGAUUGGCUGGCAGCGCAGGGGCGGGAAUUCUGGGCGGGGCCACCCCUGUUAGAAAAAGCCCGGGCUAGGGCCCGGGAAGCAGGGUGAGGGAGGGGGGUGGUGGGAGGGAUGGGGGGGGUGGGGGGGGAAAAGGGGGGAGGGGGGGGGGGGGGGGAGGGGGGGGGGGGGAGGGAUGGGGGGGUUGGGGGAAACUGGGGAAGUGGGGGAGCCGAGGGGUAACCAGGGAAGCGGGGGUACCGGGGGCAACCAGGGGAAGAUGGGGAAGCGGGGUGCAGGGGCGUUUGCGCGGGCCAAGGACCACCUUGGAAAUCUGGAGCCUGGCAGGAGCGGCGCAGGGUUGAGGGGCUGGCUUGGGCAGGUGCCCUAUAGGCAGGGCAACAUCGGCAUGGGGGGUGACAGGCCCGAGCUGGGGUGCGGAGGGAAGAGUGGGGAGCCAGGCAUUCAUCCCGGUCAAUUUUGGUUUCAGGUCGUGGCGGCUGGUGGUCAGGGGGAGCUGGAGAGAGGUUCGCCCCGGGGCCUGGGGCAGCGGAGGUGUAGCUGGCAGCUGUGGGCAGGUGAGGACAGCCGUCUGCCGGGCCAGGUGAGUCCCCUUCCCUCCCCAGGCCUUGUUUCUCUGGCCUCCUGCAUCCGGAGGUUCUGGGGAGCGAGGGCCGGCGAGGCGAAGCGGCUGACCCCCCGGCAGAGUGGCGGCGGACGACAGGCAAGGCGGGCAGAACAGGUGACACGUCUCAGGGGGAGCUGGGACCGGGCGGGGCUGGGGGGCCGGGGCCGUCCCAGGUGGAAAGAGCAUCUCAAGCGAGUCUGGUGGGAGACGAGGCAGGGCUGCCAGCAGGGAGGAGACGCAACAGGCGGGGGGCAUUCCAGGCCCGGGUCGGACAGGACCCGUCGGGGGUGUCAGGACAGUGGGGUCCCCAGCCGCCACUUCACCCACUGCAAUUCAUUUAGUAGCAGGUACAGGAGCGGCUCUGGCCGGGCCUCUUGAGGCCUGAGCUGGAGCCUCGAGGGCCGGAGAAUGGGAAAGAAGGUGCAGUGUGCCAGACAGACGUCACCUGGAGGGAGCACGGCCGUGGGGACGGGCCCCAGAGAGAUUUCGGCAGCAGGGAGGCUGCGCGGGCCCAGCCUGCGGACGUGCGUUCCCACGCAGCACUGCGGCCCAGGGGCUGGCGCGGCAGGGCCCCCGGUGUCCUUGGUGGCACUGUGCGCCCUCGCCGCUCGCCCCUGGGACUGGCACGGCAGACAGGACAGCACCCAGGGGAGUCAAGGGCACUGACGAGACCAGACUAGGCGAGGCGGGUGGGGUGGAAUGGAUGUGACCUCUGGGGGGAGGGAGGUGGGGACGCAGGCAGGGGCGAGGCGCCGGAGCCUGGCGGCGAGCGAGGCCAAGGCGGGCCUCUGCGGGUGACAACGGAGCAGAGAUGGGUGACUCUGCGCUCGCACCGGAGACAGCCUCGUCUCCAGUGGGGGUGGACACACUGCCAGCACCACAGGCCGGACGCCAGGAUGUGCUUGGAGGGACAUGACACAGUCCGGUGUGACGGAGAGGGACAGACGUGACGCCGUCCGGCCUUCCUGAACACUCUCGGCUGGCCCCGCGGGGGAGCUGCCACACCCAGCGUCUGUUCCUUUGCCUUCCUGAAGGAGCACGUGCAUGACUGCUGCUCUCUGGACCCCAGAACCCUCAAACGACAAGAGAUGGUGCUACCCAGCUCAUGCCUGGGCCUUGGACCCGGACUUCUUCAAGUCCUCCUAGCUCUGACUCAAGAAUAUGCUGCAUUCUGGAGCCACUACACUACUUGACUCAGGAAUCAGCUCUGGAAGGUUGAGCCAAAGGAACAGACGUCCCACACCACCGGACCAACGGCACCCGCGGGGUUCCCCACCCCCCGCCCGGCCACUCCACCUCGGCGGCCACCCCCUGCUGCGCCCUGGAGACACCACCAGCCUCCCUCUCUCCCCUUCCUCCUUUUUUUCCUCUGUCUUUUCUCUUCUCUUCUUUCCUCUCCUUUGCUCAGAAGACUCGGGGCAUCCAGGACUCUGUGUCCCCGUCCUUCCUGAAUUAAUUUGCACUAAGUCGUUUGCACUGGUUUGGAGUCCUGGAACCAGCCCCGGGUCUCGGAGCGGGUGUGUGAGCUGCCGAGUGGCCUGGCCUCCUCGGCCCGCGCCCCCUCAGCACCUGCCAUUGUCCAUCUCUGUCUGGGGGUGACUGGGUGGGGGCCUGAGUGUGUGGGGCCCCGCCCUCCCCUCUCCUAGUCUGGAAGCUCCGACCACCGAGCAGACCUCAAACGCUGCACUGAGUGUCCAUCUCGUCAUGUGCCCCUCCUCGCCAGGGCCACCCCAGAGCCCUGGACUCAUCAAUAAACUCAGUUACCG